GUGGAUUAGAUACCCUGGUAGUCCACGCCCUAAACGAUGUCAACUAGGUGUUGGGUGGGUAAAACCAUUUAGUACCGAAGCUAACGCAUGAAGUUGACCGCCUGGGGAGUACGGCCGCAAGGUUAAAACUCAAAGGAAUUGACGGGGACCCGCACAAGCGGUGGAUGAUGUGGAUUAAUUCGACGCAACGCGAAAAACCUUACCUACCCUUGACAUGUCAGGAACUUUCCAGAGAUGGAUUGGUGCCCGAAAGGGAGCCUGAACACAGGUGCUGCAUGGUCGUCGACAACU
rnacentral:rRNA from 1 species